rnacentral:rRNA from 1 species
GAUGAACGCUGGCGGCGUGCUUAACACAUGCAAGUCGAACGAUGAUGCCCAGCUUGCUGGGUGGAUUAGUGGCGAACGGGUGAGUAACACGUGAGUAACCUGCCCUUGACUCUGGGAUAAGCCUGGGAAACUGGGUCUAAUACCGGAUACGACCAUCUGGCGCCUGUCAUGGUGGUGGAAAGCUUUUGUGGUUUUGGAUGGACUCGCGGCCUAUCAGCUUGUUGGUGGGGUAAUGGCCUACCAAGGCGACGACGGGUAGCCGGCCUGAGAGGGUGACCGGCCACACUGGGACUGAGACACGGCCCAGACUCCUACGGGAGGCAGCAGUGGGGAAUAUUGCACAAUGGGCGCAAGCCUGAUGCAGCGACGCCGCGUGAGGGAUGACGGCCUUCGGGUUGUAAACCUCUUUCAGUAGGGAAGAAGCGAAAGUGACGGUACCUGCAGAAGAAGCGCCGGCUAACUACGUG